rnacentral:ncRNA from 1 species
AGUCUUUCUUGUUCUUCUUGGCAUCCCCUGCCAAGUUCAGUUCAAACUGGGCCUUGGCCUCCUGGCCUUUUCCCUACACAGCCUACCAGCUUCCUUAUAGUUUCCCCACUCCAGGGACAGCAUCAGGUGGGGAGUUUGACUGGGGCAGUACACCUGUCAAAGUGUAACGCAGGUGUCCUAAGGUGAGCUCAGGGAAGCCAGAAACCUCCCGUGGAGCAGAAGGGCAAAAGCUCUCUUGAUCUUGAUUUUCAGUACUUAUACAGACCGUGAAAGCGGGGCCUCACGAUCCUUCAGACUUUUUGGG